AUUACGACAACGCCAACCCUUAAAUUCUAGAGUUAUGUUGUCUUUUAUUUUGUAGGUCUUGCUGAGAUGUUGCAAUCGGGGAUGGAUUCCCUGUGCGCUGACAACGAAAUCUAUUUGUUUUUUUUAUCUGUUCGUUUUGAGAGGCGAAAAGGUACAAAUCAAAUCUAGAACAGUAUAGCAUAGGGUCAAGCCCUUCGGCCCAUCAUAUCUAUGCCGACCACGACAGCAAACUAAAGAAAUCCCUUCUGUCUGUAAACGAUACAUUUCUCUUCGCUCCCUGUCGGUUCAUUGAUCCUGCUAAAUGCCUCUUUAAAUGUCUGAAUGCACUGCUCUCCACUCUCUCCGCACCAAUCCCAACCUUACCAACAAACCCAUAGACAAAGGAGGUACUGCUGUAGUUUGGCGAACUGACCUCCAUCUACAUUGCUGAGGCCGGGCGGCACCUCUUCUUACCCACUCCUUCAAAAGGAUCCCAGUGCAGACCAUCAGAAAAUUAUCUUCGACUAUCACUGGCCUCAUCAACUCUGGAAAAAUCUAGUCCAAGGCUCCAAGUUCACCUUCAAAGAUGGAUGCCCCAAAGCUGAGUGAUGGAUGAAGGGCAGCAAUGUGUGGGGGAUUUCUCAGCAAUACUCCAAAAUGCAUCGUCGUCUUACUGAAAGGAAACAUGAGGUGCAGCAAGGAGGCAGUUGCAAUAAUUCGCGCACUCCAGAGAGUGAAUUUCACUGAAGUUAUUAACGGCGGCAGAAGCAGCAGCUCAUGGAACGGACUGCUGCGCUGAUCAUUAAAAAGGGAAGGUUAACCUUUCCCAGUGUGGGAUUUCAAGCUGACUCGGAAGGGACUUUUCCCAAGAAACGGUUGCUCCAUCAACUAAAAUGAGAGUCCUGAACGAAGUAUUUGACCGCCUGCCAAUUGUCUAGCCGGAGUUCCUGAGCUGUAGACAAUAGGCGGCGGAAACUAUUUCCCGGUGUGAGGGCGGUGUUGCUGAUUAUGCCACCCGCUCUACCCUGCUGUCAAGUCUACAUUGAUUCGCACUGGUCUCUGCCAAGGGAAUAGUAUUGUGAAUGUCGUACGCCAUCUACAGUCAAACAGACAGCGUGUGUCAGCCGAUGGGCGCUUGCUUACUCUCCAUUUUUUCCAUUUAUUUUACUUCUAUGGGACAUUCUGGCUCCACCAGACUAGUUUUAAGUUGUAUAUUGCGUAUACUUUAUCUUCUGUCUGUUGUGUGGAACUACGUGCCUUGGGUGGCGCUACACGCAAGUUUUUCACUCUGCCUGUACCUCACCACAUGGCAAUGAACUCGAUUUAAAUCCCACAGAUCAGCCCCAUAUAUCAAACUAUUACCCCUCUUGAAGCCUGGAUUCCAGUCACCUUUUCAGGCUACUUCAUUUUUCUGCCAGAGCCGCCCCCAUCCCGGCCCCCUUUCCCAGCCAAAAGAACCUUCUGCAACUACAGGAAACGCUGGAGCUACCCUAUAACAUUCUCCCUUAUCCCUGUAACACCCCUCCGGGCAAAACUGCGAUUCAGUAGCCUUUCUCAAUGGCAGAGGUCUCUAAGACCAUAGGUCACUGUUAGGGUAAGAGGGCUUAGAGGGCCUCUGAAAGGGAAAUUUUCACCCAGAGAGCGGUGGCAGUCUGCAACACUGGACCUGUGGGGUAAUAAAAAGAGUUAAGUGGUGGAAGUAGCAGCAGGGAUGAGAAGCAGCACUUUCAUUUCAGAUUGAGGACCCUUCUUAAAAAAUUUUAAGGGGGUGCUGGAGGCAAAGGCUCUCACAACAUCCAAGGUGGAGAAGGUGAAGAACGAAAUGCUGGUACAUGGGAUUAAUAUAGAUGGCCUGCAUGGACUGCGUUGUAAGACUACAUAACUAUGAAAGUUCUCAAUUAUGUCAAAUACCAUCUAUAAAUUUGCUAAUUGUUGGUAGAAUCUCAGAUGAAGACGAGAGGGCGCACUGGAGCAAAAUAUGCCAACUAGUGGCACUCAAUGUCAGUAAGAUGAAAGAGCUGAUUGUGGACUUCAGGAAGGGUAAGACAAAGGAACACAUACCAAUCCUCACAGAGGGAUCAGAAGUGGAGAGAGUGUGCAACUUCAAGUUUGGGGGGUGUCAAUAUCUCUGAGGCUCUAACCUGGCCCCAACAUAUCGAUAUAGUUAUAGAAAAGGCAAGACAGCGUCUAUACUUCAUUAGGAGUUUGAAGAGAUUUGGUAUGUCAACAAAUACACUCUAAAACUUCUAUAGUUGUACUGCAGAGAGCAUUCUGACAGGCUGCAUCACUGUCUGGUAUGAUGGGGGAGGUGCUACUGCACAGGACUGAAAGAAGCUGCAGAGGGUUGUAAAUUUAGUCGGCUCCAUCUUGGGUACUAGUCUACAAAGUACCCAGGACAUCUUCAAGGAAAGUGUCUCAGAAAGCAACGUCCAAUAUUAAGGUCAUCCAGCACCCAGGACAUGCCCUUUUCUCACUGUUACCAUUGGGUAGGAGGUACAGAGGCCUGAAGGCACACACCCAGCAAUUCAGGAACGGCUUCUUCCUCUCUGUCAUCGGAUUCCUAAAUGGACAUUGAACCCAUGAACACUACCACACUUUUUUAAUAUAUAUUUCUGCUUUUUGCAUUAUUUUUAAUCUAUUCAAUAUACGUGUACUGUACUGUAAUUGAUUUAUUUGCUGCUAAGUUAACAAAUUUACCAACACAUUCUGGUGAUAAUAAACCUGAUUCUGAUUCAAUGGGAAGCCCAAAAGCAAAGUGGCUGAUUGAUUUGUGGGGUAACUCUAUUCACUACCAAUUGCUCACAAUUUUAGUUCUUUAUCCCAACCUCCCACCCUGCAUCUCUGUUCUCAGCAAUCUCCAACACUGAUCUAAUAAAAUAGAGUGCAAGCAUUUUGUCAUUCCAUUGGCUUUCCAGGUUCAACUCCCACCACCUGAAUGAGAGUCUCUGGUGACAGUGGGAUUGGGGCACCUCGUGAACUAUUGUGAAGGCAAUUCCUUUCCAAUGUGCAGCAUUCCUUAGCAAUGAUGGGUGUCUAUCUGGGGUCUAUCCCUUGCUUUACCAAAUUCACCUCACCUCCUCACCAGAUGCUCACUUACUUUACCAGAUUUUAUGUGGGUUCCCACCCUUCUUCCAUUCAUAUUAGCUCUGGAGUUAUCAUAACCAUAUGUGCUAUGUGCAGUGGGCUGCGUGCUUUUGGUAAUGUGUUUUUACUCUUGGCCCCAGAGGAGCACUGUUUCAUUUAGCUAUAUUCACAUAUGUUGAAUAAUAAUUAAUCUCUUAUUCUAUUUUACAUUUUUUUACACAGUGACAUUUAGUAUUUGGUAUGCUCUGUCAGAGGUGGCAAUGAAGGUCAAUUGAGCUGAAGUGUUUCGGAAGGAACUGGUUAGGUUCUAAAGUAAAUUCAAACAACAGGAAAAAGGCCCUUAGGCCCACACAUCUGCUUCAAACAUCAAGUAUUCAUCUAUAUUACUUCCAUUUGUCAACUUUCAUCCUGCUCAACUCUGCCCCACACUCCAAUUUCCCUCAUCAAGUCUCCUGCUAUCCACCUACACUAGCCAAUUUCAGUAGCCAAUCAACCUUUCGGUACCUGAAAGGAAACAAGUUGCUUUGGGGCAAUACUGGGUCUAGCUGGAUUGCUCUUACAUAUUGAGUGUAUGUUCUUGAUGGACCAAAUAGCCUCUUUCUAUGUUAGAUCCAUCUUGUGAUUCUUUCCCCUUGCACUUUAUUUGUUUUUAUCAUAUAAUUACUCCUGCACUGCCCAAAAUUUUGCCACGCUAUUCAAUGCCACCUACCUCUGAAUGCACUUACUUCAAUACACCUGUUGUAUCAAUCCUUUACUGAAAAUCUCACUAAUUCAAUUGCCUGAGAAAAUAUUUUUUCUUUUCCUCAGUGUCAGCUGUAGGUCACUUGGCAGCAUCUUUACCUCUGAAUCAAAAUGGUCUUCUCUGAAGACGAGCCUGGAAGUCCAGGCUGACAACCCACUAGAAGUGUCAACAUACUUUGAAUUGUCUUUAUUGUCAUUAUACAUAGGUACAGUGAAACUCUGUUUGGCUUCCUCUCAGGUAAUCAAACAAACCUGUAGAUAAAAACAAGACAGUAAUAAAAACACAGUCUUAGAACAUAGAAUAGUACAGCACAUUACAGGCCCUUUGGCCUGUAUUAAAUAGAUAAGUAACAGAAAAUAAGUUGCAAAUAAGUUGCAACAGCACCAGAAUAUCACAGUAAUGCACAAAGUGCUGUUAGUGCAAGUAUUUGAGUCUGUGACUGUGCAUGUGUGUGCUCACAGUUUCAGUCAUUGUUCUGUGGGAGUGGUGUGUUGGAGGCGACAGCUCUGGGGUAGAAGCUGUUCCUCAGUCUAUUUGUUCUGGCUUUGAGUGUCCUGAACCUUUUGCUGGAUGGCAGCGGGUCAAACAGGGAGUGGCCGGGGUGUGUGGUGUCUCUGGUUAUGCUGAUUGCUUUCCUCCUGAGUCUGCUGGAAUAGAUGGUGUCCAGUCCUGGGAGCUCCAGUUUGAUAAUUUGCUGGGCCGUCUUCACCACGCGAUGUAAGUCUUCAUGCUCAGCAGCUGUGCAUGUUGGUCCAUGUCAGUGAGGUGUUGGUGGUCCAUGUCAGCGAGGUGUUGGUGGUCCAUGUCAGCGAGGUGUUGGUGAUCCACGUCAGCGAGGUGUUGGUGGUCCAUGUCAGCUGUUUUGACAACAUAACUCCAAGGAACUUUAGGUUUUCCACACUUUCCACUACCUCUCCAUGUAUAUGGAGACGGUUAUGUACUCUGUCCUUUGAUCUCCUGAAGGCAAUGAUAAUCUCUUUUGUUUUAGAAGUUGUGUUGCCUUUAUGGCAGUUAUUUAGUUUAUAAUAUUUUCGCUUAGUAAUUCAUUUGUUAGUAUUUUCUAGUUAGAAUUAGAAGCGUUUAAAGUAUAUUCAUUGCCUGUAAAAUAUAUCGGCAUGCGAUGACGUCACAUCCGGUUUCGCCGCGUCUUGUGGGAAAAUACCGGUUUGAGAUCAACGCGAGGGUGGGGGCUCGCACGAGGCAGACCUGAGCAAGGAGUUGUUUGCAAGCAUUAGAAAUCACAGUAAGAGCAACGCUGUAAGUUAAUAGCUAAUCGAUAUGUUGAAUUAAAAUGUUAAUGCCGAUCCUGUUAAAAGUAACGACGGCCGAUAAUGUUUAUGUUUUCAUUAGUUAAAGAGUUGCAGAUAGUUUGCAUUGAAGUGUAUUUAAAGCAGUCAAUGGCAUAGGUAAAUUCUGCCUGUAUGCUGCACUUUAAUGUAAUGUAGUUAUAGUUACUUUUACGAGUAUUUACAAUGUAAAUGUGAUAUCAAGAAGGGAACAAAUACUGUAUCAAUCUUGUAUUGUUUUAUCAACAGUUUUCACCAUAUGUUAAUGUGAAGAGUGAACAGUAAAUGG